AUAUAGAUUUUCAUUUCUCCACCCGAGGAGUUUGGGAGAUUCGAGAAAAUAGUGAAAGCUUUAUUUAUUUUUUUAAAAUCUCUAGAAUAAAUAUUUAAUAAGUACAAACAUCUAAUUAGAAACUGUUUCACGUCGAGUUCCAAUCCUUUAACCUGUAUUCUUGACACAAAUAGAUUAACUGGAAUGAACUAUAAAGAUUGACUUCAAAAUUUGAGAAUCAUUCUCAGUUUCGAGAAACU
rnacentral:lncRNA from 1 species